GACGAACGCUGGCGGCGUGCCUAAUACAUGCAAGUCGAGCGGACUGAAUGGGAGCUUGCUCUUGUUCGGUCAGCGGCGGACGGGUGAGUAACACGUGGGCAACCUGCCCGCAAGACCGGGAUAACUCCGGGAAACCGGAGCUAAUACCGGAUAACACCGAAGACCGCAUGGUCUUUGGUUGAAAGGCGGCGCAAGCUGCCACUUGCGGAUGGGCCCGCGGCGCAUUAGCUAGUUGGUGAGGUAACGGCUCACCAAGGCGACGAUGCGUAGCCGGCCUGAGAGGGUGACCGGCCACACUGGGACUGAGACACGGCCCAGACUCCUACGGGAGGCAGCAGUAGGGAAUCUUCCGCAAUGGGCGAAAGCCUGACGGAGCGACGCCGCGGGAGCGAGGAAGGCCUUCGGGUCGUAAAGCUCUGUUGUGAGGGACGAAGGAGCGCCGUUUGAAGAAGGCGGCGCGGUGACGGUACCUCACGAGGAGGCCCCGGCUAACUACGUG
rnacentral:rRNA from 1 species